rnacentral:rRNA from 1 species
GACGAACGCUGGCGGCGUGCUUAAUACAUGCAAGUCGAGCGGAAGGGCGCUGCUUUUGCUGGGUGCUUGUGUGGCGAGCGGGUGAGUAAAACGUGAGUAAACUGUCCUUGUCUUUGUGAUAACUUUUGGAAAAUGGGGCUAUUAUCGGAUAGGAGCUUUUGCUGCAUGGUGGGGGUUGGUAAGUUUCGGCUGUGGGGGAUGGACUCGCAGCUUACCAGCUUGUUGGUGGGGGUGUGGCUUACCAGGGCUUUGACGGGUAGCCGGCCUUAGAGGGUGACCGGCCACAUGGCGCCUGAGGGACGGACCAGACUGCUACGGGCGGCAACAGUGGGAAACAUUGCACAAUGAGCGGAAGCCUGAUGCAGCAGCGCCGCGAGCGGGAUAACGGCCUUCGAGUUAUAAACCGCUUUCGCCGUUGACGUAGCGUGAGUGACGGUAAUGGGUAAAAAAGCACCGGCUAACUACGUG